AUUGUAUUAACUUCUUCUGAACCAUAAAGUCAUAUUUCUGAACAUUUCUGUAGGCUGAUGUGUUUAAUUCAAUCAUAUUGUGUUUGGAUUAAAAAUUUACUGAGAUUUAUACAGAUUAAUGCAUUCAGAAGAAAAAAAAGUUGAAUGAAAACACCUGCAGAUGAAGGAAAUUAUUACACAAGUCUGUGAAGCUCAAACACUGAAACAGAUCACUGUUGGUUGUCUGUGUGUUUGUCACAAGGUGACGAUCUUUAGGGGCGGAACCAAAAAUCGGGAAGUUUGGUUCCGCCCGGACCGGAAAAACAGAACACCGGAACUUCCGGUAGCGCCGUAAGAGGGAAAAUCAGGGAAUUCGAUGCACCUGUGCCUAGUUAGGGACAGCGGUUGGUGAUUGGAGGAUACGCUGGACAAGGCAGUACUUAAGGCCAAGUUAUUUCACAGUCUGGGGGCUCUUUCUGGCUGGAAUUGUAUGAUUGUGAAGACAUCGCGAACCUUAAAGGUUGAGAAGUGAACGGAUUAUACGGCGAACUGAGACGACGUGAAAAAGGGGAUUGGAAGCGGCAUUGAUGUGAGUAUUAAGAGCAAGCCGAAAGUGCCCUGUAUAUUGACCUGGCGUUGUGUAGAUCUCUCCAGGAGGAGGAGGGCGGCCCUACCCCUAAUAUAGCGUGGUGGGAGAGCCGAAGGAAUACUUAUUGAAGUAGUCACAACGACGACAUCACUAGCUAGGCCGCAUAUUCCAUCGCCAGAUCCGAACCAAGCGAAGUGAAGGAAGACGGGUGUCCUUUUCGUACACUGAGUGUGGUGGGUGAGUCUUCGUGCUGUGAAAACCUAUAAUUUUGACUUGGUGCUGUAUAUUGCUGUGGGCUGCUGUGUAUUGCCGUGUGUCCUGUCAGAUAAACCCCCGCCUUCACGCACUUCGUCGCGGGAGGACAAGGAGACUGCUGGUCCUAGCCUAGUUCAGUACAGUAUAUGUUGUGAGCGUGCUUCAGAUCUCCGGAGAUAGCACGGUACGCUGUGUCCAGCCCAGAGGUGAGAGCUAUUCAAAGCAAACUAACUGUGCUUUGUGUCCAAUCUGAUACCUGUGGAGAGAAAAGGAAAGAGAGAGUGAGUAACGCAAGGAGAAACAGAGGAAACCUGUACGUACAGUACGCUGUGUCCAGCCCAGAGGUGAGAGCCAUUCAAAGCAAACUAACUGUGCUAUUGUGCCCAAGUUGAUACCUGUGGAGAGUGAAGGAAAGAGAGAGUGAGUAACACAAGGAGAAACAGAGGAAACCUGUACUUACAGUACGCUGUGUCCAGCCCAGAGGUGAGAGCUAUUCAAAGCAAACUAACUGUGCUUUGUGUCCAAUCUGAUACCUGUGGAGAGAAAAGGAAAGAGAGAGUGAGUAACGCAAGGAGAAACAGAGGAAACCUGUACGUACAGUACGCUGUGUUCAGCCCAGAGGUGAAAGCCAUCCAAAGCAGAGUAACUGUGUUUUGUGUCCAAGUUGAUACCUGUAGAGAGGAGGAGAGAGAGUGGAUAACGCGAGGAGAAAUAGAGCGAAACCUGUACUUGCAGUACGCUGUGUCCAGCCCAGAGGUGAGAGCCAUUCAAAGCAAACUAACUGUGCUAUUGUGCCCAAGUUGAUACCUGUGGAGAGAAAAGGAGAGAGAGUGGGUAACACGAGGAGAGACCGAGGAAACCUGUACUUACGCCGCUGCCUGUGGAGAAAGAGAAAGCCCUUUCCCUAUUCCCCAAGCUAUUUUUAAUUAUUUAAAUAAAGAUUGUUUUAUCACUUA